AUCCCAGGGUCGACGAUAGAAAGGUGACGGACCGCAGAGGCGGUAAUUAACGGUAAAGAAAGGGAGAGGCGAUACGAAACGCUGAAUCCAAUCGCCGGAGGACUCCACGUAGGAGGAAUUUUUGGUAAAUACAU
rnacentral:lncRNA from 1 species